rnacentral:snRNA from 1 species
GCCUUCGGGCAUCAGGUCAUUUUGAAAAGAUACAGAGAAGAUUAGCAUGGCCCCUGCACUAAGGAUGACACGCUCAAGUGCGCCGCCCUGAUCUC